rnacentral:misc_RNA from 1 species
GCCAGCAGAAUUUCCAGGUACGAGUUUAAGCUGCAUAUCGAACCUUCCGAAUAAAUACUCAUUCUUAGACUGAAAUCCGGAACCUGAAAUUUUAUCAAGUGACAAUGUGAGAAGGCGCCCUCCAUCUUGUAUCUGAGCGCGCUGGUCACCAAACGUGACCGCCGCGUCUUGGUAGAAAUUAUCAGCGGAAACAGGGGAUAGUAAGACUAGUGUAAGAAGAGAAAGCUGCAGCAACAUUAUAGAAAAUUAGAGUAGUGAUUUAAAGGGAUA